UUAACACUUCAUAAAUGUCUGUGUUUGUCAACUGAGGCUGUUCAUGAGAUGUCCAUGGAGAUUAAAUAUUACCCAAAUAUUUAAUUACCUAAAAGAUGCACAAUUUGUUUUAUUAACACUUCAUAAAUGUCUGUGUUUGCCAACUGAGGCUGUUCAUGAGAUGUCCAUGGAGAUUAAAUAUUACCCAAAUAUUUAAUUACCUAAAAGAUGCCCAAUUUGUUUUAUUAACACUUCAUAAAUGUCUGUGUUUGCCAACUGAGGCUGUUCAUGAGAUGUCCAAUAGUAGCAAAGUCCCAAAAUGAAGCAAAAGUGACCCAUUAUGCAGCAUUCAGCCCGUUUUUAAUUCAAUUGGGGCCAAAUUUCGUGCAGAGUAUACCCCAAAUUGUAUCCUUCCCUCAUUUUAUUGGGAAAAAAAUUUAAAAAAGCAAAAAACUCACCUCAACCAGCUUGUUUGUCCAACAGAGUGAAAACGUGUUUUUUAGUUGCUCCCUCAAUGCUCUCCUGCUUCCAACUGAAGCCUGUUCUGAGCACAGAGCCAUUUGGGGGGGGGAGAUGGAAAGUUAACCUUUAAUGUGCCAGUCAGUUUCCCUUUUCUGGAAAAUGAACCUGCAUUUUGGUCUACUUUCUCGGUUGACCGAAAUUCAGAGAAAUGUGAAAUUGGGGUUUGUGCGACAUAACUCUGGGUGCCAUUUAAAAACUGUACAUCCUAUCCACUCCAUUCCUUCUAUUCUAGAUACAGACCAUUAAUGGGAGUAUUUUAAAACAAAUUUGACCUCUCUAGGACAUUCAGAAGCCAAGUUAUGAGCCUCCAAAGGUGUAUCCGGACAUUUGUCUUUAAAGAGCGGGUCAAUUGAGCCUCGGAGUCCUUCUCCACCCACGUGUCAAUUUUAAAAAAUGCAACAUUAGUAGGCGUUGCCUGGAGGACCGAGAGGGCGGAGCCGCGGCAGUGACGAAGACGACGGCUAACUAGACGAUGCUAGCUCCCUUCACUCUAUGCAGUUAUUAGAAGUGGAGGAUGUUUCUCCCCCUCCUUACCCAGACACUCGAGAAGAAAGGGACCAAGUCUAUUUGGAGGAGACAAGCGGACCUGAGCCUUAUUGUUGUGAGCUUGUGAGUUGCCUGUAACUCCCAGAACCGACCCAACAGAACCACCUCUGAACGUCCUCUGGUGUCUGCAGCUGGUCUCUGGUGUCUGCAGGUGGUCUCUGGUGUCUGCAGGUGGUCUCCUCUGCUGGUGUCGUCAGGAUCAGGAGCUUCCAGAAGAAUGUGCCUUUCAAUGACUCUUUCCCCCUUAUUUGUUAUAUUAAUUAAAUAAAUCUCAAUUUA